UUCGGCUUCCUACGGGAGGCAGCAGUAGGGAAUCUUCCGCAAUGGGCGAAAGCCUGACGGAGCAACGCUGCGUGAGUGAUGAAGGCCUUCGGGUUGUAAAACUCUGUCUUCUGUGAAGAACAAGUCUGUGAGUGGAAUGCACAGGCCCUGACGGUAACAGAGGAGGAAGCCCCGGCUAACUACGUGCCAGCAGCCGCGGUAAUACGUAGGGGGCAAGCGUUGUCCGGAAUCACUGGGCGUAAAGCGCGCGCAGGCGGCGAUCUGCGUCUGGGGUGAAAGCCCGGAGCUCAACUCCGGGAUUGCCUUGGAUACGGGGUCGCUUGAGGAUCGGAGAGGCAAGGGGAAUUCCACGUGUAGCGGUGAAAUGCGUAGAGAUGUGGAGGAACACCUGUGGCGAAGGCGCCUUGCUGGCCGAUUUCUGACGCUGAGGCGCGAAAGCGUGGGGAGCAAACAGGAUUAGAUACCCUGGUAGUCCACGCCGUAAACGAUGAGUGCUAGGUGUUGGGGGGUACCACCCUCAGUGCCGAAGCUAACGCAUUAAGCACUCCGCCUGGGGAGUACGGUCGCAAGACUGAAACUCAAAGGAAUUGACGGAAGCCGA
rnacentral:rRNA from 1 species